rnacentral:tRNA from 1 species
CUGGAUGUAAUAUCAGUGGUAGAUGGCUCGUUUUGGAAGCGAGAGGUCGCAGGUUCGAAUCCUGCCAUCCAGACCA